AAACCAUGAUUCAAAGAGUGCAUCAAGUACUACUUGAACCUCUCCCAAGCUUCAUACAAUUAUUUCACCAGAAGUUGCUUGAACUCAAAAAUAUUAUCUCGGAGUUC